rnacentral:pre_miRNA from 1 species
GCUGCCCUUAGGGUCAGUCUCUGUAUUCUCCCUUCACAGUCAAUAUCAUACCUGAAGGAGGAUAUUGAGGCUUAUCCUACGGGCACG